AACGAACGCUGGCGGCAUGCCUAACACAUGCAAGUCGAACGAGACCUUCGGGUCUAGUGGCGCACGGGUGCGUAACGCGUGGGAACCUGCCCUUAGGCUCGGAAUAACUCCCCGAAAGGGGUGCUAAUACCGGAUAAUGUCUGCUGACCACAGAUUUAUCGCCUUUGUAUGGGCCCGCGUUGGAUUAGCUUGUUGGUAUGGUAAAAGCCUACCACGGCGACGAUCCAUAGCUGGUUUGAGAGGAUGAUCAGCCACACUGGGACUGAGACACGGCCCAGACUCCUACGGGAGGCAGCAGUGGGGAAUAUUGGACAAUGGGCGAAAGCCUGAUCCAGCAAUGCCGCGUGAGUGAUGAAGGCCUUAGGGUUGUAAAGCUCUUUUACCCGGGAUGAUAAUGACAGUACCGGGAGAAUAAGCUCCGGCUAACUCCGUG
rnacentral:rRNA from 1 species